rnacentral:rRNA from 1 species
CAGGACUUGACAUCCCUCUGACAGAUCCUUAAUCGGAUUCUUCUUCGGACAGAGGAGACAGGUGGUGCAUGGUUGUCGUCAGCUCGUGUCGUGAGAUGUUGGGUUAAGUCCCGCAACGAGCGCAACCCUUGCCAUUAGUUGCCAUCAUUCAGUUGGGCACUCUAGUGGGACUGCCGGGGACAACUCGGAGGAAGGUGGGGAUGACGUCAAAUCAUCAUGCCCCUUAUGUUCUGGGCUACACACGUGCUACAAUGGCCGGUACAGAAAGCAGCGAAGUCGUGAGGCGGAGCAAAUCUCGAAAACCGGUCCCAGUUCGGACUGCAGGCUGCAACUCGCCUGCACGAAGCCGGAGUUGCUAGUAAUCGCGGAUCAGAAUGCCGCGGUGAAUGCGUUCCC